CGCGGGGUAGAGAAAUAGUAUCUCGCAAGGCUCAUAACCUUGAGAUUGUGGGUGCAAGUCCCACCCCCGCAA
rnacentral:tRNA from 1 species